rnacentral:rRNA from 1 species
UAGGGAAUCUUCCACAGUGGACGAAAGUCUGAUGGAGCAACGCCGCGUGAGUGAAGAAGGGUUUCGGCUCGUAAAACUCUGUUGUUAAAGAAGAACAUAUCUGAGAGUAACUGUUCAGGUAUUGACGGUAUUUAACCAGAAAGCCACGGCUAACUACGUGCCAC